AUGAAGGAGGCAGCGUGUUUUUUCCCUGUCUGAAAGACUGGUUAACCCGUGAACUUCCUUCGUGUUUGGGAUAGGGGCUUGCAAUUGUCCCCUUGAAC
rnacentral:rRNA from 1 species